rnacentral:lncRNA from 1 species
UCAGACCCCAGAUCCCUAGGUAGUGUUUUUUUGCACCAUGAAUUCAGCCUCCUCAUUUCAUAUAAAAUUGAAGGAAAAUCCUAUAUGCGUCUGCUAAGUGAAUAUCACAAUAAAGUAAGUCACACAAAUUCUUUGCUUUCCUGGUGCAUAUAAAAGUUUGCACUAUACUGUAGUCUUCUUAUCAUUCGCCUGAAAUAUCAUUCGUCUUCUUAUCAUUCGUGUGUUCACUGGAGUAACACUUUUAAGUUCCUUCAAGAACUUUUCUUUUACAUUCACAACUUGUCUGUUUAGUGCAAGAGGCCUAGCUUUCAGCCUAUCUCAGCUUUCAACAUGCCUUCUCCAUAAGUGGAAUCAUUUCUAGCUUUUGAUUUAAAGUGAGAGACAUGCAACUAUUCCUUUCACUUGAACACUUAGAGACCACUGUAAGUUUAUUAAUUAGCCUAAUAAUAGGGAGGCCUGGGGAGAGGGAGAGAGAUGGGGGAAUGCCGACUGGUGGAGAAGUCAGAACACACACAAGAUUUAUUGAUUAAGUUUGCUAGCUAUCUUAUAUGGACGCAAUUCAUGCCACCCCAAAACAAUUACCAUAGUAACAUCAAAGGUCAUUGAUCACAGAUCACCAUAUCAGAUAUAAUAAUAAUGAAAAAUUUU